AGGGGUGAACCGAGACUCAGACUUACCCAAGGUCACCAAAGCUGGCAGAGCUCCCGGCUGCCUGACUGUUCUGUCCAAGUGCCCCCACACCUCGACGCCUUCAGCAGCCGCUAGCUCCAGGGAUUCCUGGGGAAGCCAAGGCCGGCCGGACUCCUGGGAGCCCUGGUCUGGCCUCCAGCGACCCCUCACCCCUCACGGCACAGCAUCUCUUCUGCAGGACUUCAGAAUGCCCCCUCUGGGAUCUCCCAAAGCAGUCGGUAGCCCUGGCACCCUCCCCCAAUCCUAAAACCCUGCUCUCUCCAUGAAACCAGUCCCUGCAUCUUCUCAUCCCAUAUUGUUUUGCAGGCUCUACCCUGAGUCAUUAUAUUCCUUUCUCAUCC
ensembl:lncRNA novel transcript